CUCCCUUCUUGGUGGGGUCCUCAGGCAGCGGCAUCCCCUCACCUGGCACCAUCUUGAAGUACUUGGGGCUGAGACAGAAAGAGAAGAAAGGAAGGAGCAUAGAAGACUCACAACACUCCUGGAAAUCCUUGCUCAAAGAUCUCUCCUGACCCAAGAGCACAUCAAUUCAGACUGGCUGUUCAGUAAACCCCAAGAUCCUCUGUCUCUGCCUCUCCAGCACUGGUAUCACAGGGGCUCUGCCAAUGGCGCUGGGGACCAAGUCCAGGUCUCCAUCCCUGGGUGGUAUUGGGUCAUCUCCCCAGGCCCUUCUUUCAGCCUUUUGUGUUCAUAUCUUGAGCAAGUUUCUUCCAUCUCGGACCUCAGUUUCCCACUGUGGAAAAUGGUAGUGAUCUCCAAGCUGAGCUCACAGAAGCAUUGGGAUGCUCUGUCCCUGGGAAGGGGCUCUGGGGACCACCUAACUCUAGACCAAAACUUGUAGGAACAGGAAAAAAAUGUGUUCCUUCCCUCUCGGUCCCCCCACUACCUGAACCUGGUGACUGACUGCCCCGAGCCAGCUUCUCUCCCUCUCACCUGGUCCCCUUCCUUCUCAAAGGUGAUGCGCGUGCCCUGCCUCCACCCAGGCCUCACAUCGAUGGUCAGGAUCUUGUCCUUGAUGGUAGAGGAAUACCCAUCUUCAUUUAGCACCUACGGUGACAGGGGUAGGGACGGGGAAUUGUCUCAGGGGAAAGGCCCUGUAGGGUGUACUCUGUACCCAUAGUAAUGGGGGACUAGAGUCAUUCCCACUCCCAUCCCACUGUCACUAGAUUUAAGAGCUUGUGACUCUCCAAGGCAAGGCAUGUCCUCAAGUUGAUGAAGCUGUGGCCUGAGACACCAGUCACCACAAGUGCUGGCCACCAACAAAAACAUAGUGAAAGUUUCCUAUCUCCAAAUCCCAGAAGUCUGGCCCUAAUCCCAACGUCCUCCCUAUCCUACACUAGGCCCCACUACCCCUCAGUGUCUAUUACAAGAUCACUAGAGACCCCAGACUUCGGUUUCUAGGAAGUUACUGGUUCAUAUGAAGAAAGAGGGGGCUGGUCACAAGCAUGCAGUGGACCUCUCAGAAGGCAAAAUACUGAGCCUCAUGCAAAGCAUCCCUUCCCCCACCCCUCCAUUGUGCCUGCAACCCCAUGAGCUCACAGUGCCACCUUUGGACAGCAUGGCCACAGUGGGUAUCUCCCCCAGGCAAAGGGGAGGAAGAAGGCUGAACCACAGGCCAUAGUCAGGUCAGUCCAAGGACUACUACUACUCACAGCAACUACUCACAAGGGUCUUCGCUAAGCUGUCGCCUUAGAGACUGUGCUGCCCACCUCCAUGCCCACCCUGUGGCUGAGGCACACAGUCCUUGGGGUGUGGUCUGUAAUGCCCUGGAGUGAAAUGAAUGGCAGAUUCUUUCUACUCCCACUCCUCCGCUUUCCACUAGGGUGGCUGGACUGGGAAGGGAGAGACCCUGUUCCCAUUAGAUAGAUGCAGAAGGGACUUCUGUACCAGAAAAAAAGGCUGAAUCUUUAUAUUAUUCAUUCAAAUUUCGAUUCUAAAGUCUAAAGUCUAAAAUUGCUGAGUCUUUUGACCUAAGAGUUUCAUGAUUCCAUCAGAAAAGGUUGCCAAGUUUUCCUGUUGGGGGAGGGGGACCUGCCAGGGAGGUUUGUGGAGGUAGAUGGUGCCUGGUAAGGGGAGCCAGCCUAGUACUCACCCUUCGGGAGAUCUUAAUUUUUUUGGUGCAGCCAAAGAAUAAGUCCUCCAGGGACAAAUAGAGGUCUCGUUCAAUUGGAGGGUCUUGUUUCUGGACCCCUCGGCCCCGAAGCCCCCCAAAAUUCAAAUCUAUAUCAUUUCCUUCUGCAUCAAAAAAUUCUAAAAGAGAUAGGAGGAUGAGUAACAGAAAUGAUGUCCAAAGACACAGAUCAGAUAGACAGACAGACACACAGACACACACAGAGACACAACACAGAUGCACACAGAGAUGCACACAUACACAGACACACACAGAGACACACAGAGAGACACACACAGAUGCAGACACACAGAAAUGCACGCAUAUGCACACAUACACAGAGACACACACACAGAUGCACAGACAGACACAGAUACUGAGACACACAGAGAUGCACGUAUACACAGACACACACACAGAUGCACAGACACAGAGACACACAGAGAUGCACAGACAGACAUAGAUGCACAGACACCCACAGACACAUACACCCCUAUAUUCCCUUGAACCUCUUCAGUGCCCCAAGAAUAAGGCUCAGCACAGCAUUCCCACCUCUCAGACCCAUGGACCAAAGACUAUCUGUUUUGUUUCAUUUUGUUUUUGGCCUUGAAUUCAGGGCAAUCCUCCUACCCCAGCCUCCUCAGUGCUGGGAUUACACGAGUGAGCUACCACACUUGGCUUCGAGAAGCCACUCUUAGAUGCAGACCAGUGAUCACCAGCCCUUGCCAGGUCCCAGUGCUUCCCUGGGACUCCCACAGAGUGAGGUGGGGGCAAGCUCCUGCUGUGUGUACAAACUCAGGCAUCGCUCUAAGCGGUAGAUCCCCGUAGUGCAGACAAGAUGGCCAUUCAGGCAGAGUGGGUCAGAGCAGCUAGGCCACUCUGCCCUUCCCCAGAUCCUACUGCUGGUUCUCUGUCCUUUCCCAUGACCACCCUAGACAACCCAGCCUCAAGCUCUCUUGAGUUACAAGCUGAUACAAAGAAGGAUUUGGGCUGGUCAGUGGCAGUAGUGAGUGGUUGACAACAUGUCCCAAGCUCCUUUCCUGCUCUCCAUCUGAGAGCCCACCUGAUGACCUUGCCUUAACCUGAUGGCAGAGAGAGGGAGAGGGAGAGAGGGAGAGACAGAGACAGAGACAGAGACAGACAGAGAGACAGAGACAGAAACACACAGGGAGAGAGAGAGAGACAGAGAGACCAGAGACAAGACACGGGGCGGGGGAGAAUGAUGACCACCUUUGGGUCUGCUUGUAGUACUGUAAUCCUUUGAAACUUGGUUUUUUAGUCUGUGGCACAGGGUAACAUUUGUCCUGCCCUAUACCAUUAAGUUGAGAAACAGCUAAGCCUUUGGGAAAGCCUGCUGUGUAUCAGGCUCUGCACUCAGUGACUUUCAUCCUUACUUUAUAAUCUAGAGAGUCCAAGAAAAUGCUCACAGUUCCAUAGCUAGCAAGUAAUGAAGUUGGGACCGGUACCCCAGGACCACUUGGCCACAGAACUGUGCCCUUGGUCAAUGUGCUAUAUUUGCUGGAUGUGGGGCCCUUGUAGGCUUUGGAGACAGAGGUAGCUGUUAUGUACCCUGUCCCUCAUGGCCAGUGCCAUGGAAUGAGUGUGACAAGCUAGAUGGCGAAAGGUACAUCAACAGCUGGCAAUGUGCUGUGGGUUCACGUGACAGCUGGGAGCCAAUGUCACAGCUCAGCAAGUAAAGGGCACUUUUACCCACCUGACUCCUGAGGGCGACCUCUGAUCUGCACACACUAGAUAUAGCGAGGCUUCCUUUUUUUUUUAAAAAAAAAAAAAAAAAGGAACAAGGAGGUAGUUCCAUAAUAGGAGUCUUUGUCUAGCCCAGUGGUUCUCAACCUUCCUAAUGCUGUGACCCUUAAUACAGUUCCUCAUGUUGUGGUGACCCCAGCCAUAACAUUAUUUCAUUGCUACUUCACUGCAAUUUUGCUACUGUUGUGAAUCAACAUGUAAAUAUUUCUUGAAGAUAGAGGUUUGUAAAGAAGUCAUGACCCACAGGUUGAGAACCACUGACCUAAACUACACAAGGUCUCAAUUUCAAUGCUCAGUACCACAGAAUCUUUUUAAAGACAAAUUUCUGAAUGGACAUGGUGGAUGUUAACAGUGAGUGACUGCAUCUAGGAGAGGAAAGGAAGUAGAGAAUUUUUCAAUAAAUCCUGUUUUAAUUUCAGUGUGGUUUAUAUGUGUAAUACCAGCACUUGGGAGCCUGGGGAAUUUGAGGCUAGCUUGGGCUACAGAAUGAGACCCUGCCUCAGAUAAAUAAACAAACAAUCCCUUUUCCUCUCCAUUUCUCUGUUUAUUUCCUUCUUUUUCUCAAAGAUUUAUUUAUUUUAUAUAAAUGAAUGCUCCAUUUGCAUGUACAUCUGAUGUCAGAAGAGGGCAUCAGAUCCCAUUAGGGAUGGUUGUGAGCCACCAUGUGGUUGCUGGGAUUUGAACUCCGGUCCUCUGGAAGAGCAGUCAGUGGUCUUAACCGCUGAGCCAUCUCUCCAGCCCCUUCUGCUUACUUCUUCGCUUUGUUUUUUUGCUUUGUUUUGUUUUGUUUUGUUGGUUCUUUUUUUCGGAGUUGGGGACCGAACCCAGGGCCUUGCGCUUCCUAGGCAUUCUGCUUACUUCUUAAAGAGGCAAAACCAGGCUGGAUGUGGUGACUCACACCUGUAAUUGCCAAGAGUUCAAAGCCAACUGGACUAUAAGAUGAACUUAGUCUUCCCUACAGAGUGAGACCAAGCCUCAGAGGGUGCAGGGAUGGCUCAGUGGUUAAGAGCACUUGCUGCUCUUGCAGGGAAUCCGUUCCCAACACCCACAUGGUGACUUGAAACUACCCCUAAUUCUAGUUUCCAGGAGCCCUGAUGGCUUCUGACCUCCCUGGUUACCAGGCACACAUAUGUGUAUCUAUAGGCAGGUAAAACUGUCAUACACAUAAAAUGAACAAGUCUAACAUUUAAGAAAGGAAGAAAGAAAGAAACGAGAGAGAGAGAGAGAGAGAGAGAGAGAGAGAGAGAGAGAGAGAGAGAGAGAGAAAGCUGGGUGUGGUGGUACAUGCCUAUAAUUCCAGCACUUGGGAGGCAGGGAGAUCAGGAGUUCAAGGUCAUCCUUGGCUAAGCCUUGCCUGGCCUGGGAAAUCUGCCUCAAAAGUAAAAUAACAAAAAAGCACACAAAAUAAAUAAAAAGCAACCAAACCUAGCCAACAAGAAAGGCAUCUUCUACAGCGGUAUUCUUUCCCAGUAAGAAAAGGACCGGGGUGGGGGUGGAGUCUUACCACUGAAGGGGUUGUCUCCUCCAAAAAACUCGUGGAACACUUUUUCAGGGUUGCCAUGGAAGACAUAGCCCGUUGUCCAUGGAGUCUGGGAUCCAAACUCCAGAGGAAUCCCACCCUUCAGGCCUUCCUCGCCAAACUUGUCAUAGAUGCCUCGUUUCACUGCUGUGGGUAAAAGUGACCUUGAGGAGGACUCCGGGGCUUAUGUGACUGGAGAGACAGAGGUAGUGAGAGAGCUGAGGGAGGUGGGGGACAAGGGCAGCCUUAUCUCCUGCAGGCUGGAAGUCUCUAGGAGGUAGAAAGUCAGUGACACUCGCUGUCAGUUCAGUGUCACUAGCCUAUAGAUCCUAUAGGAUAGCCCAGAAAAGCAAUGAGAGAAACCUGCCUGGGUUGGGCUUUUGAGAGGAACUGAGAGACUGAGGGUCAGGUACAUCCUGGGGUUGACUUAGCUCAGUCUUGGGAGGGAAAUGUAACAUUCUAAAAUCUUAAAAUUUUAGAAUCUAAGAAUUCUGAACUUGGAAAAAAAAAUUUUUUUUUUUUUUUGGUUCUUUUUUUCGGAGCUGGGGACCGAACCCAGGGCCUUGCGCUUCCUAGGCAAGCACUCUACCACUGAGCUAAAUCCCCAACCCCUGAACUUGGAAAUUUUAAAAUCCAAAAAAAAUCAGGGCUGGAGAAGCCAUAGUCUAGCUGUUUUAACCAACAGUGGCCACAGUCACAGCCCCCAGACCAUCCCCUAGAGAAGUCACAGUCACAGCCCCCAGACCAUCCCCUAGAGAAGUCACAGUCACAGCCCCCCAGACCAUCCCCUAGAGAAGUCACAGUCACAGCCCCCCAAACCAUCCCCUAGAGAAGACACAGUCACAGCCCCCCAGACCAUCCCCUAGAGAAGCCACAGUCACAGCCCCCCAGACCAUCCCCUAGAGAAGCCACAGUCACAGCCCCCCAGACCAUCCCCUAGAGAAGCCACAGUCACAGCCCCCCAGACCAUCCCCUAGAGAAGCCAUAGUCACAGCCCCCCAGACCAUCCCCUAGAGAAGACACAGUCACAGCCCCCCAGACCAUCCCCUAGAGAAGCCAACUGGGCAGCUGUUCUUUGCCUAGUAGUGAGUCACCCUCAUCCCACACGACUGAUUUCCAAAGGGUGAGGUCUGAUGGCUCUAAGCUUUUCCUUGCCCUCUGCUCCUGUUGUCCCUGGAGAUAGUCUGGGACAAUAAAUCAGAACAACGUCUGCUCUGCCUCAGCCCUCUGUCUCUGGCAGCUGCCAUUCCCCUCCAAGCCUCAGGAAGGGUCCUUUCUGCCAGCCAGAGGCAGAGGGGCACGCCCACUUCUGUGCUGCUUCGGCUGGCAGAGUCAGCACGGGAGCUUGACCACCUCGCCCAUUCCUGAUGUCAACACUGAGUUUGAGACCAGCCUCUGCUACACAAGAGCCUUCCUCAAACAGACAAGAUGAGAGCUGAAGUUUGGAUUCCCAGCAGCGUGUAAAAAUGUGGUGGAUCUGUAACCUCAGUGCUGGCAGGCAGAGGAAGCCUUUGCUGAUGAACCAAGAGGCUGAGGAGAUAAAGACAUCUUUCAAAGUUCUGGAGCCACUUAAGUAAUAAAGUCAUUUCUGACUAAAA